rnacentral:rRNA from 1 species
UACGGAGGGUGCAAGCGUUAAUCGGAAUUACUGGGCGUAAAGCGUGCGCAGGCGGUCGGCCAAGUCGAGUGUGAAAGCCCCCGGCUCAACUGGGGAGGGUCAUUCGAUACUGGUCGACUCGAAGGCAGGAGAGGGAAGCGGAAUUCCCGGUGUAGUGGUGAAAUGCGUAGAUAUCGGGAGGAACACCAGUGGCGAAGGCGGCUUCCUGGCCUGUUCUUGACGCUGAGGCGCGAAAGCUAGGGGAGCAAACGGG